UCGGCAUCUCCAUCUAAAGCAGCUUCCCCGGCUGUCCAAACCUUUGUUCUGAGCUGAGACAUGGGAUUUCUUGAUUUAAUUGGCCAUUUUCACCAUGAAAACACAAGAGGAACUAAGGUUUGCUGCUAAAAGCCAAACCUCGCCAUUACAGGCUGCGCUCACCACAACCCCGCUCCAACGCCGCUUCCAAAUAUAAUCUCUCCAAGCCACAGCUGCAUCAAGGCUACAAUUACCCAGCAGACCGGACGCCAAAGAAACCAACCCCAUCCAUCCACCCCCCAGUCCUGAGCAUGCAACCAUUGCAUGUAUUUUCCAUGCAUUAUCAUGGUUUAAGCAGUAGCGAGCUGCGUUUCAUCGGUUCGCAUCCGGCUCUUCGUCUCCUCGGAUUGUCGCAAAUCAGAAAAUGUCAACUCGCAACAACAAAAUGGUGAGUGGGGAAAAGGGAUGAAAGCCCAGUUUGUAGGUUCUGGCACUCACCGGCUUUCCGAGUGUGACCCGAAGCACGAUACAAAAUGAGCAACAUGGUUUUUGGAGCGAACGCGGAAUCACAAAGAGUUGCGGAACAGUCGCAGCGAAUCCCAGAGCGGAGCUUCACAUCCACCUUAUUCGCGCUCGGCUGAGAAUCACGUGCACAAAACAGCCGCUGCUGAGCCAUCAAGAGGCUGUCAGAACUAUUUUUAAACCCGGCUUGCAUUUUAAAAUCAAGUCUGCACGCCUCGGUUUACCCUCCAACAAUACCACCCCACUGCAGGAAACACCGCAAGUUGAAGAUGCCUCAGUUGCUUUACGAUCGUACAUACAACACUGUGGAGUGUUAUUUUUAUAUCCUCUUGCUUUUUGAAAUCUGCCUAUGAAAUAUUUAACUUGAAACCAUUCGGGGCACUGAACAGAGGGAGGAAUGCGACAGAAAAUGCUUCCAGGCUGCGUUGUCUUUACCUCGGAAGGGACGUUUCCAAUCCCCUUGAACAUAAAAACUCCCUUGCUGGCAUCAAGAAACGCGUUUGUACCAAGAAACAAUCUGAACACCGAAUUCUGAAGGAAUGUUGCUUCCCGAACCGCCUUUUGAAGCCUCUUAUGUCCAGGCUCAAAAUAUCACAGAGGUGACACGGCAUCGGGACUUGAGAUAAAUACAUGAAUAACUCAUUUUUACCAGGAUUAUUAUUCACUAUGAUCAUUGCAGAACUAAACAGACUUUGCUGUUGGCUGCGGUUCUUUGCUUAUCCACAUAAUAAACAGAAGUUUGGAGUAU